AUGGUUCAGGACCGUUGGGUGCAGGCUACUCUAACCCCGCCUCGGUCCUUCUGUGCCACGGACGUUUGGCAUCACUGCUCAAAAGUCACCUGCCAGUUUAUGCGGGGUUGGGGCGCCAACCUGGGUGCUAACCUGAGAUCCCGCAAAGGGGCGCUCCUUGACCAGAUUAAGGCCCUGGAUGAGACUGCUGAUUCAGUCGGUCUGUCGGCAGAAGAAUGGUUGCAGCGAUACGCCCUUGAAGCCUCCCUUAUGGAGAUUUUCAAGGGGGAGGAACUAUUCUGGCAGCGACGGGGGGGGGGGCAGAAGUGGCUCCUUCAAGGCGAUGCUAACACCGCGUAUUUCCAAGCGAUCGCGAAUGGGCGUCGCAGGAAGUGCUCCAUCCCGUGCCUUUGGGAAGGGAACACCCUUCUCGAACACCCGGAUGAGAUUAGGACCCACAUUUACUCCUUCUAUAAGGGGCUCUUCUCGGCAGAACCCCAUGGUGGGAUCUCCCUGGCGGAUAAUUUCUGGCCCCUUGCGGACAGGGUAUCUGACGUAGAGAAUGCGGAACUGACUAUCCCUUUCUCACCAGAAGAGGUGGGGCGGGCGAUCGCCUCGAUGAAGGCUGGGUCGGCACCGGGCCCGGAUGGCUUGCCGGUUGCCUUCUUCCAGAAGUUCUGGAAUGUCCUAAAACCGGUGAUCAUGCCAAUGUUCCAUGAAUUUUACAUCGGCACAUUUGACAUGGAGCGCAUAAACUUUGGUGUUAUCACCCUGAUCCCCAAAGUAGUUGGGGCGACGGACAUUCGCCAAUUCAGGCCUAUCACAGUUAUCAACGUCCUAGAGCGCAUCUUCUCUAAAGUAUGCGUGUCUAGACUCGUGCCUAUUGCUGAGAGGAUGAAUCACCCACUCCAGACAGCAUUCCUGAAAGGGAGAAGAAUCCAUGACGGGAUACUCUCCCUCCACGAGAUUGUCCACGAGGUGUGA
rnacentral:rRNA from 1 species